rnacentral:rRNA from 1 species
GAUGAACGCUGGCGGCGUGCCUAAUACAUGCAAGUCGAGCGAACAGACGAUGAUCUUGCUCGGCUCACGUUAGCGGCGCAGGUGUGUGAAACAUGUGUAUAACCCACCUAUAUGUCGGGGAUAACCUCGGGAAACCGGCUCUUAUACCGGAGAAUAUACUGAAGCACAGUGGGGGAUAGUGAAAGACGGCUUUGCUGUCUCUUAUAGCGGGUUCCGGGCCGCAGUAGCUAGUUGGUAGGGUAACAGCUUACCAAGGCAAGGAUGCGUAGGCGACGUGAGAGGGUGAUCGGCGACACUGGAACGGAGACACGGUCCAGACUCCUACGGGAGGCAGCAGUAGGGAAUCUGCCGCAAUGGGCGGAAGCUUGACGGAGCAACGCCGCGUGAGUGAUGAAGGUCUUCGGAUCGUAAAACUCUGUUAUUAGGGAAGAACCAAUGUGUAAGGAAAUAUGGACGUAUUGACGGUACCUGAUCAGAAAGCAACGGCUAACUACGUG